rnacentral:tRNA from 1 species
GCCGUCUCGGCCAGCGCCGGGGCGGUCGCCUCCAGGGCGGCCAGCGCGGCCAGGUGAUCGCGGGCCGGCUCGGCCCCGGCCGGCAGCG